GCGCCAGUAGCUCAGCUGGAUAGAGCAUCGGCCUUCUAAGCCGAGGGUCGUGGGUUCGAGUCCCGCCUGGCGUA
rnacentral:tRNA from 1 species